UACAGAGGUGGCAAGCGUUGUUCGGAAUUACUGGGCGUAAAGGGCGCGUAGGCGGCCUUCUAAGUCAGACGUGAAAUCCCCCGGCUUAACCUGGGAACUGCGUCUGAUACUGGAGGGCUUGAGUAUGGGAGAGGGAUGUAGAAUUCCAGGUGUAGCGGUGAAAUGCGUAGAUAUCUGGAGGAAUACCGGUGGCGAAGGCGGCAUCCUGGACCGACAUUGACGCUGAGGAGCGAAAGCUAGGGGAGCAAACGGGG
rnacentral:rRNA from 1 species